GAUGAACGCUGGCGGCGCGCCUAACACAUGCAAGUCGAACGGCACCUGCCUUCGGGCAGAAGCGAGUGGCGAACGGCUGAGUAACACGUGGAGAACCUGCCCCCUCCCCCGGGAUAGCCGCCCGAAAGGACGGGUAAUACCGGAUACCCCGGGGUGCCGCAUGGCACCCCGGCUAAAGCCCCGACGGGAGGGGAUGGCUCCGCGGCCCAUCAGGUAGACGGCGGGGUGACGGCCCACCGUGCCGACAACGGGUAGCCGGGUUGAGAGACCGACCGGCCAGAUUGGGACUGAGACACGGCCCAGACUCCUACGGGAGGCAGCAGUGGGGAAUCUUGCGCAAUGGGGGGAACCCUGACGCAGCGACGCCGCGUGCGGGACGGAGGCCUUCGGGUCGUAAACCGCUUUCAGCAGGGAAGAGUCAAGACU
rnacentral:rRNA from 1 species